UACUAAAUUUCUGGUAGUGGGGAUGUGUGCUUGCCGCCUCCCCG
rnacentral:snRNA from 1 species